rnacentral:rRNA from 1 species
GACGAACCGAGCGAACGUUGUUCGGAAUCACUGGGCUUAAAGGGCGCGUAGGCGGGCGGCCGCGUCCGGGGUGAAAUCCCGCCGCUCAACGGCGGAACGGCCUCGGAUACGGGCGGCCUCGAGGGGGGUAGGGGCGUGCGGAACUCUGGGUGGAGCGGUGAAAUGCGUUGAUAUCCAGAGGAACUCCGGUGGCGAAGGCGGCACGCUGGACCCCUUCUGACGCUGAGGCGCGAAAGCCAGGGGAGCGAACGGG